UGACACUUUUGUACACUUAGCAGGUACAAAGUAGAUGUAGGCAGUGUAGUUCAAAUCGUGAUCCAGAUCGUGGAAUUGCACGAUUUCACGAUGUUAGUAACCUCCACUGAUCUGGAUCAUGAUAGAAAUUGUUGGUUGCUGGGAUCGCGUGGAAUCGUUGUGGUGCAUCGCAGAAUUGUGGAAUCUUCAGGCGAGUUCGAUUCUGAUGCCAACCCAUUUUAUUGUUUUCGACCCGGUUUUCCUACUUUCAACCGCUUUGACUUGUUUUCCCCCAAAACGGCUGCGUUUUGGCAAAAACGUUGGAACCCUAAAAUUAACGCAAAAACGCUGCGUUUUAACACCAUAUAACCAAAACCCACUGCUCUCUUCUCCUCUCGCAUAACACCAUACUCUGCCUCUCCUCGUUUCUUCUCACAAACCCAUACUCUGUCGUCGCCGCUGCUCGAUGCGACUCUGUUCUUCUCCGUCGCCGCCGCUUGGAGCGACUUACAUCCUUGCCGUGGUGUUGUUUCUUUACUCUGCUCUGUGUGUGUUUCUCGUUUCUUAUCAUGGCUGGAACUGGAAGGGAAGGUUUUGUGCGUGGUGUUGGAAGGGGGUCUAGAUUCGAAGGUUAUGUGGGUGGUGUUGAAAGGGGGUUCUGCAGUGGGAAGGUGUUCUGGACCUUUUGGUGAAGGUUCUGGUACAACUGUUGGAUGAGGCUCUGGUUCAGCUACUGCUGAUAUUGCUUCUGGUUCAAGGAGGAGAGUAGUGUUGAAGCCCAGGAAUGCUCUUGGAUACCGAAGUGACCCGGUUGGAAUCAUGGCAUCUCAAUCGAUGGAAAAACUAAAAAAUUUCAAUGCAAGUAUUGUGAAAAGGUUCUGACCGGAGGAGUUUAUCAUUUGAAACAUCAUUUAGCUGGCUCAUAUAAGGAUAUUUCACCUUGCAUAUUAGUUCCUGAAGAUGAGCAAAAGGAAAUGUAGAAAAUUUUGAAAAGGGGGAUGGCCAACUUGGUUCAAAAAUCUGGUAUAUCAGGUGGUGGUGAAGAAAGAAAGGUACCAGAAGUUGAUUUACCCGUGGGUGAUCUCACAAAUUUGCUGAAGAAAAGGAGGAUCAGCACUCAAACCACCAUAAACAACAUCUUUAAGAAGGGAUUAAGUGCAUAAGUUUCUCAAAUAUAUUGCAUGCUUCUUUUAUAACAAUGCAAUACCUUUCAAUGUGGCUAGAUGUGAUGAAUACACUGAAAUGAUUGAUUCCAUUGCAAGGUACGGGCACCUUCCUACUAUGAUUUAAGAGUGAAGCUAUUGAAAGAAGAGAUCAGAUUGACAAACCUGACAUUAGAAGCACACAAAGCUGAAUGGAAGAGGACAGGUUGCACCAUAAUGACAGAUGGGUGGACCGACAAGAGGAGGAGAACGAUUAUUAACUUCUUGGUGAAUAGAUCGAAGGACAGUCUUCUUAAAGUCUAUUGAUGCAUCACAUUUCUCCAAGACAACAUAUAGAUUGUUUCAGAUGAUGGAUGACAUUGUUGAAGAUGUUGGGGAAGAAAAUGUGGUGCAAAUUGUGAUGGACAAUGCGACAAAUUACAAAGUUGUCGGGGAGGUUCUGAUGUAGAAAAUGGAAAUGUAGUAUUGGACGCUUUGUGCCACACAUUGCAUUGAUUUGAUGUUGGAGGACUUUUAGAAGAAGAUUCUAGUUCAAAGUUUAACAAUUCCACAAGGAAGAAAGAUUACUCCCUAUAUCUGUUCAAGGACCACUCUAAUCACAUUGUUGCAAUUCCAUACCCAUGGGAGAGAUUUGAUUAGACCAGGCCUCACUCGCUUUGCGACAUCAUAUUUGAACUUAGGGUGAUUUCAUGAUAAUUGGGGAGCCUUCGAAAGGAUGUUUGCAUCAGAGGAAUGACAGAAAAGAACAUAUGCAAAGACAAGGGACGGGAAGAAGAUUUGUGACAUGAUUAUGGACAAACUAUUUUGGAAGGACAUUACAACUUGUGUUAAAGGGUGCACAUCCUUUUAUGAAAGUGCUUCAUGCGGUUGAUUCUGAUACGCUAGCAAUGAGGUUGAUUUAUGAGGAAAUCGACAAGUGUAAGGAGAUGAUACAAAAAGCUUUUCAUGGUGUCAUGAAAAAUUAUGAACCUCUAUGGGCUAUUAUUGAUGCGAGGUGGGACAAGCAACUACAUAGACCUUUGCAUGCUGCAGGAUAUUAUCUUAACCCCCAAUUAUAGUAUAGUCCAGGAUUCUCAUGUUGUCUUGAAAUUAGAAAGGGACUACUAGCUGCCAUGCAAAAGAUGGUACCAAAUGGUUAUGAGCAAAGAAAGUUUGAUCUAUCGUUGGAUGCUUUUAGGAAACCAGAUGACAUGUUUGGUGCUCCUGUGGCUCAAGACACUUAUGGCUAAAACACUAAUGAAAGUUUUUUUACUACUCUACGUUUGAAUCUCUCAAGACUCAAUUGUAGUAUAGUAAAGGGUUUUGUCCUAUCCACAAGGAGGUGUAAUACUAUGUCGUUCAAUAGUUAACAGACUCAAAUGAUGGAUUUCCAAGAGUUUGGUUGUGUAUACAUGAAAGUAAAAAGGAAAUCAGAUAAAUUGAUGGAGAAACAAUAGGUAUGAGAAUUUGUUGGGAUUAGAUUUCA